UCUCCAUGGUUCACCACUGGUUCCUUGUGGCCAUCCUGGCCCCUGUGGGCCAGGCCCUUCAGCAAUCACCAGACACAGUUGUCCGAGUGGGAGACUCUGUGACUCUGAACUGUUCCCAAAAGGGGAGUGCAGUCUCAACCAUGUACUGGUACAAGUUGCCCACGGGGAAGGAUGCCACUCUGCAGUUGGUUGUAUACUCAGUGGAAGGUGGUGUGGCAGAGAUUGAGAAGGAAUUCAGAAACCACUUCCAGAGUAAUGGGACUAAGGACAAACGCUUAUCUGUGGAGAUAGAUCAUGCCCUACUCAAUGACUCAGGCACAUAUUUCUGUGCUGAGCAAGACCCACAGUGA